rnacentral:rRNA from 1 species
AAACAUCGCCUCUUGACAAACAUAAGAGGUCCAGCCUGCCCAGUGACAAUGUUCAACGGCCGCGGUACCCUAACCGUGCAAAGGUAGCAUAAUCACUUGUUCUUUAAAUGGGGACUUGUAUCAAUGGCACCACGAGGGUUGCACUGUCUCCUUUUUCCAAUCAGUGAAACUGAUCUCCCCGUGAAGAAGCUGGGAUUUUAACAUAAGACGAGAAGACCCCAUGGAGCUUUAAAUUACGUGCCUACUUUAUGUAAUUACACCAAGGAACUAAAAAAAUCUAAGCACCCUUUUAGGUUGGGGCGACCACGGAGUAUAAUUUAACCUCCACAACAAACAGGCUACACCUUUACCCACGAGCUACACCUCUAAGAAUUAAUAUAUUAAUGUUUAUGACCCGAUAUUCGAUCAAUGAACCAAGUUACCCUGGGGAUAACAGCGCAAUCCAUUUCAAGAGUCCAUAUCGACAAAUGGGUUUACGACCUCGAUGUUGGAUCAGGGUAUCCCAGUGGUGCAGCCGCUACUAAUGGUUCGUUUGUUCAACGACUAAAACCCUACGCGAUCUGAGUUCAGA